rnacentral:rRNA from 1 species
GUGGGGAAUAUUGGACAAUGGGGGGAACCCUGAUCCAGCCAUGCCGCGUGUGUGAAGAUGGUCUUCGGAUUGUAAAGCACUUUAAGUUGGGAGGAAGGGCAGUAAGUUAAUACCUUGCUGUUUUGACGUUACCGACAGAAUAAGCACCGGCUAACUUCGUGCCAGCAGCCGCGGUAAUACGAAGGGUGCAAGCGUUAAUCGGAAUUACUGGGCGUAAAGCGCGCGUAGGUGGUUUUGUAAGUUGGAGGUGAAAUCCCCGGGCUCAACCUGGGAACUGCCUCCAAAACUGCAUGACUAGAGUACGGGAGAGGGUAGUGGAAUUGCCUGUGUAGCGGUGAAAUGCGUAGAUAUAGGAAGGAACACCAGUGGCGAAGGCGACUACCUGGACUGAUACUGACACUGAGGUGCGAAAGCGUGGGGAGCAAACAGGAUUAGAAACCCCUGUAGUCC